GAGUCUGGUGUUUUCCGAGAAGUCGCAGAUUUAGGAAACCAAGGUCGGCUUGAAUUUCAUCUUACGGACCAAUUUAUGGAAACCCUUGAUAAACUCGUUCGACCAGGACACCACGUUUUCAUAGAUCCAGGAAUUACUGUUAAGAACCUCAUUGUGGAAGACUUUGCUCAAAAAGGCACGUGUGAUUUCUUCAUUUCAAAAGAGGGGUUUCUUCCUUUUUCGGCCGCACUCAUCACUCAGAAGGGCAGUCCUCUGCAUCACAGCAUUAAUAAGAAAGUGAUGUCACUGAUGGAGUCCGGUCUAUUCAGAUAUUGGUUCGAGACAAGUGUGCCUAACUCAACUUCCUGCAAAAAUCCACCCCGGAGAUACCUGCUAAACUCAACAAUAUCCCUUGCAAAUAUAUGGGGAAUGUUCGUGGUACUGAGUGGAGGAGUUUUUCUCGCUCUCGUGGUGUUAUUGGCAGAACUUGUCAUUACCCGGUUGCGGAUGGAUUACUUUUAAGGACCUCUCUUAUUAAUAUAAUAAUUAUCGUCAUGUUAAUUGAUGAUAUAUUUAUUUUGUGUAUUUGCCCUUUUUCGCUUAUAGAAAAAUUUGUGCCGGUCAUAAGGAAAUGCCUACGGUGUCAUUUUUAAGUAUAAUAGUUACAUUAUGUCAAAAUAUGCCUAACAAUAAUGAACAGUAGAAUAAAAAAAAAACGGAUUUUAUUAAA